CCUACGGGAGGCUGCAGUGAGGAAUAUUGGUCAAUGGCCGGAAGGCUGAACCAGCCAUGCCGCGUGAAGGGCAGGGACCUAUGGGCGUUAAACUUCUUUUGUGCGGGAGCAAUAAUGGUCACGUGUGGCCAGACGAGAGUACCGUACGAAUAAGCAUCGGCUAACUCCGUGCAAGCAGCCGCGGUAAUACGGGGGAUGCAAGCGUUAUCCGGAUUUAUUGGGUUUAAAGGGGGCGUAGGCUGUGAGGUAAGUCAGCGGUGAAAUGCCCCCGCUCAACGGGGUGAAGUGCCAUUGAUACUGCCUUGCUGGAAUGCGGAUGCCGUGGGAGGAAUGUGUGGUGUAGCGGUGAAAUGCAUAGAUAUCACACAGAACACCGAUUGCGAAGGCAUCUCACGAAUCCGCGAUUGACGCUGAUGCACGAAAGCGUGGGUAUCAAACAGGAUUAGAUACCCUUGUAGUC
rnacentral:rRNA from 1 species